UUCCGCCAUAGCUCAGUUGGUAGUAGCGCAUGACUGUUAAUCAUGAUGUCGUAGGUUCGAGUCCUGCUGGCGGAGU
rnacentral:tRNA from 1 species